UCCACCUACGGGACGCAGCAGUGGGGAAUAUUGGGCAAUGGAGGAAACUCUGACCCAGCAAUGCCGCGUGAAUGAAGAAGGUCUUCGGAUUGUAAAGUUCUUUAGUCAGGGAAGAAGUCAAUGACGGUACCUGAAGAAUAAGCUCCGGCUAACUACGUGCCAGCAGCCGCGGUAAUACGGAGGAUGCGAGCGUUAUCCGGAUUUAUUGGGUUUAAAGGGUGCGUAGGCGGACAGUCAAGUCAGCGGUAAAAAUGCGGUGCUCAACGCCGUACAGCCGUUGAAACUGGCAGUCUUGAGUGGGCGAG
rnacentral:rRNA from 1 species